GACGAACGCUGGCGGCGUGCCUAAUACAUGCAAGUAGAACGCACAGUUUAUACCGUAGCUUGCUACACCAUAGACUGUGAGUUGCGAACGGGUGAGUAACGCGUAGGUAACCUGCCUGGUAGCGGGGGAUAACUAUUGGAAACGAUAGCUAAUACCGCAUAAUAUUAAUUAUUGCAUGAUAAUUGAUUGAAAGGUGCAAAUGCAUCACUACCAGAUGGACCUGCGUUGUAUUAGCCAGUAGGUGAGGUAACGGCUCACCUAGGCGACGAUACAUAGCCGACCUGAGAGGGUGAUCGGCCACACUGGGACUGAGACACGGCCCAGACUCCUACGGGAGGCAGCAGUAGGGAAUCUUCGGCAAUGGACGAAAGUCUGACCGAGCAACGCCGCGUGAGUGAAGAAGGUUUUCGGAUCGUAAAGCUCUGUUGUAAGAGAAGAACGGGUGUGAGAGUGGAAAGUUCACACUGUGACGGUAUCUUACCAGAAAGGGACGGCUAACUACGUGCCAGCAGCCGCGGUAAUACGUAGGUCCCGAGCGUUGUCCGGAUUUAUUGGGCGUAAAGCGAGCGCAGGCGGUUAGAUAAGUCUGAAGUUAAAGGCUGUGGCUUAACCAUAGUACGCUUUGGAAACUGUUUAACUUGAGUGCAGAAGGGGAGAGUGGAAUUCCAUGUGUAGCGGUGAAAUGCGUAGAUAUAUGGAGGAACACCGGUGGCGAAAGCGGCUCUCUGGUCUGUAACUGACGCUGAGGCUCGAAAGCGUGGGGGAGCGAACAGG
rnacentral:rRNA from 1 species